GACGAACGCUGGCGGCGUGCUUAACACAUGCAAGUCGAACGGAAAGGCCCUGCUUGCCGGGUGCUCGAGUGGCGAACGGGUGAGUAACACGUGGGUGAUCUGCCCCUUACUUUGGGAUAAGCCUGGGAAACUGGGUCUAAUACUGGAUAGGACCAUGCUGUAGGUGGUGUGGUGGAAAGAUUAGUUUCGGUAAGGGAUGAGCUCGCGGCCUAUCAGCUUGUUGGUGGGGUAAUGGCCUACCAAGGCGUCGACGGGUAGCCGGCCAGAGAGGGUGGACGGCCACAUUGGGACUGAGAUACGGCGCAGACGCCGACGGGAGGCAGCAGUGGGGAAUAGUGCGCAAUGGGCGCAAGCCUGAUGCAGCGACGCCGCGUGGGGGAUGAAGGCCUUCGGGUUGUAAACUCCUUUCAGCCAUGACGAAGCCCUUGUGGUGACGGUAGUGGUAGAAGAAGCACCGGCUAACUACGUG
rnacentral:rRNA from 1 species